UCAGAGGAGUGAGGAUGGUGUUCCUAACUGGCUGAAUGAACUGUAAUGCCUUGGCCAGAGCAGUUGCUGGCAGAUACUGGGAGAGGGAGCGGGACGGGAGCGGGAGCUCUUGGCUGGCUGUUGGGACUUGGUAGCUGUAAGCCCUAAGAUAACAAAAGGCAGUGUUAUUUGUACAGCACCUAGCACAAUGCAAUCCUGGUUCACGACUGGAGCUCCUAAGAGCUAUGCAAUACAAAUAAUAUCUUGCACUUCAUUGGGAAAAGACCCAAGCUACAUUACAAACUGUGGCUUUGAUUCAGCCAAGGGGAGGCAACAACUUAAUAGAGGUGCUCAUCAAUAAAAAGCCUACAGCAGAACCAGGAAAUGCAGAAGCCCAUGGAAAGAUUAUACUACUCCAAGAAGAACAAGAAAAUCAAUUCACAAGCAGGAGCUCUAGAACAGAUAUUCAUCAAUAACAUUUUAUAGGCUGCAAGCAAAACCCAUGAGAUGGAUAAAAUGUGGGCUCAACAUAGCAUUUCACAUUAUCAUUCAAAUUAAUUGAUGUUGCAUGUUCGGUAUGGGUUGGUUGUUGUGCAUUAGGUUGUAUAUACUUGAAAAUCAAAGUUUUGCUUAUUUAAGACAUAAUCCAAACUGAGUUCUCACUGAGGCAAAGUUCCCAUUGAAGUCAAUAGAUUUUACCCAAACAAAGACCCCAGUAGUAUUUAUCUAAUAAAAGCAUUCUAGCCCCUAUACUACACCAGAACACCAAGCAGUACAUCAUACAGAUCUAGGAUUAAUAUUCAUAUAGCUUGAGCUGGGAGGGGAAUAGAGCCUGUUUUCAAACACGAAUAAAAGCAAUGUCAGUGUUCUGUGCUGAAUCUAAAGCUUUAAAAACCUCAGUUGGCAAUUUUUAACUGUCCUCUUCCUUAUCCCAUGAGAGAAGGCUUUCAAUGAGCCAGGGGCUUUAGAGGCUAAAGUGCUAUACACUGUACACAGACAAGGACAAACAAACUACUGGAAAAUUCAGCUUGCAUAUGGCAUUAAAUUUGAAUGGCUCUGUGCAGCAAAUCCAUUGCUUUUUCAUCGAUGUGUUGGUGUUUUAAAUAAAACUUUAUUAAAUAAUUUAUUUCGUUUCUUUAGUGUUUGAAAGAAAAAAAUGCUGUAUGAGACUUCCCUGAGUUUUUUCACAGCUGCCUGCCAAAAGUACUUGAGACUCCUCAGUGAGAAGAACUUUGCAUAAGUAACUCUCCUGUUAAAGAACUUUCAGCUUUUCAAAAUGUUUUUAAAUGUCUAA